rnacentral:snRNA from 1 species
UCCUCAGCGUCUAAAUAUUACCU